rnacentral:rRNA from 1 species
GAAGGUAGGUGAGGGGUUACGUAGGAGGAGUAGGGGUCGGCCGCCGAGCUGGAGAGCACGGGAGCGGCGGUAGUUGGAGAGGACGUGAGUGUGCGGUCGGCGGCUAGAGGGCGCGGGAGUGGGUAAUCGUCGGCUUCAGCGAGAGGGGGCGUUCAGCGGCACGAGCCCUAAAUACCGACGAGGAAGCGGAGCGGGUAGAUCUAGGCGGUAGCGGAGGGAGGGAACGACUACAAGUAGAAUAGAUAAAUACGUCCCCCGAGCAGGAAGGCACCACGAGUCGGUGGCAGGCCAAACCUCCCCCUUAUCCUCUGGGGGUUGCUUUUGCUCACACGAUCGCCACCUGUGUUCCUACGCGCCACUAACACGGUCCAGGUACGAGGUCAAGAAGACAACCUUGAUCCUCCACGUCUAUUUAUUCUCAACAACCGUCGUCGUUGGAUGUGUACACCUUUGUCACCAAUACCGUCGAGUUUCCCUUCAAGACAGACGAUCUGUCGUUGAGUGUUGAAUCACCGCCGAGUUACGAUAAGGAGUACAACGUUGGAAAAGGACAUCUUAGUUUUCCUCAAUCUACCUUCUUUAACGUCCUCCUUACCAUAAGGGCCGCACUGUAAGUUUUCGUCAGUUCUACCACUCCAAAUCUUGCCUCCUCGAGGCGCCUUAAUACCUAUCUUUUAUAGGUAUUGUACAGACAGUAACGGUACAGCUGGCACGGGAAACUAAGAUGUUCGGCGUUUCCUCGUUUCACAUCUUUUAUACAGGUAACAACAACUUAACCUCCCUAACAGUGGUUCAAUCACGAAGUCUAACAAAGAUAAAAUCUCGUUCUUCGGUUUA